UACGAAUGGAGCAAGCGUUGUUCGGAAUCACUGGGCUUAAAGCGUAUGUAGGCGGACUAGAAAGUCAGGAGUGAAAUCCCGGGGCUCAACCCCGGAACUGCUCUUGAAACUUCUAGUCUAGAAUCCUGGAGAGGUUGGGAGAAUUCCUAGUGUAGAGGUGAAAUUCGCAGAUAUUAGGAGGAAUACCAGUGGCGUAGGCGCCCAACUGGACAGGUAUUGACGCUCAGAUACGAAAGCGUGGGGAGCAAACAGG
rnacentral:misc_RNA from 1 species